AACUUUUAGCAACGGAUCUCUUGGUUCUCGCAUCGAUGAAGAACGCAGCGAAAUGCGAUAAGUAAUGUGAAUUGCAGAAUUCAGUGAACCAUCGAAUCUUUGAACGCACAUUGCGCCCGCCAGUAUUCUGGCGGGCAUGCCUGUCUGAGCGUCAUUUCAACCCUCAUGCCCCUAGGGCGUGGUGUUGGGGAUCGGCCAAAGCCCGCAAGGGACGGCCGGCCCCUAAAUCUAGUGGCGGACCCGUCGUGGCCUCCCCUGCGAAGUAGUGAUAUUCCGCAUCGGUGACCGGCGAGCCCCAGCCGUUAAACCCCAACUUUACAAGGUUGACCUCAGAUCAGGUAGGAAUACCCGCUGAACUUAAGCAUAUCAAUAAGCGGAGGCU
rnacentral:misc_RNA from 1 species